GGGCCUGUAGCUCAGUUGGUUAGAGCGUCUGACUCAUAAUCAGAGGGUCCGCGGUUCAAGUCCGUGCAGGCCCA
rnacentral:tRNA from 1 species